rnacentral:rRNA from 1 species
GAUAAACGCUGGCGGCGCACAUAAGACAUGCAAGUCGAACGGACUUAACUCAUUCUUUUAGAUUGAGAGCGGUUAGUGGCGGACUGGUGAGUAACACGUGAGUAAUCUGCCUUCCAGAGGGGAAUAACGUUUGGAAACGAACGCUAAUACCGCAUAACGUGCGGUCCUCGCAUGGGGACUGUACCAAAGAUUUUAUCGCUGGAAGAUGAGCUCGCGGCCGAUUAGGUAGUUGGUGAGAUAACAGCCCACCAAGCCGACGAUCGGUAGCCGGACUGAGAGGUUGAUCGGCCACAUUGGGACUGAGACACGGCCCAG